GAUGAACGCUGGCGGCGUGCCUAAUACAUGCAAGUCGAGCGAACAGACGAGGAGCUUGCUCCUCUGACGUUAGCGGCGGACGGGUGAGUAACACGUGGAUAACCUACCUAUAAGACUGGGAUAACUUCGGGAAACCGGAGCUAAUACCGGAUAAUAUAUUGAACCGCAUGGUUCAAUAGUGAAAGACGGUUUUGCUGUCACUUAUAGAUGGAUCCGCGCCGCAUUAGCUAGUUGGUAAGGUAACGGCUUACCAAGGCGACGAUGCGUAGCCGACCUGAGAGGGUGAUCGGCCACACUGGAACUGAGACACGGUCCAGACUCCUACGGGUAGCCGCCUUAGGGAAUCUUCCGCAAUGCGCGAAAGCCUGACGGAGCCACGCCGCGUGAGUGAUGAAGGUCUUCGGAUCGUAAAACUCUGUUAUUAGGGAAGAACAAAUGUGUAAGUAACUAUGCACGUCUUGACGGUACCUAAUCAGAAAGCCACGGCUAACUACGUG
rnacentral:rRNA from 1 species